GCCUGGCCCCCAAUUUCCAAAUUAUUAUUAUUUCUUGUCUUGUCCCUUUCAUUUGCGCGCGGCCUCCUCCAGAGCCCGAACUCUGAACCUGAACCCUGAACCACGCGGGACGUGAGGGGACGCUCGCAGGUUUGAGCUCAUUAUCUGGAGAAAGCACAUGGGAGGAGUUUCGGAGGCCAAACUGUUAGUACCAGGUUCUUCCUGCACAGCGGUGAGGGGGACGUCCCAGCUCCAUCAGAACCACCCAGUGGAUGGGAUUGAGCAAGGUCCAGACCAGCUGACCAGCUUCACACGUGCACAGAUUGGGGGUGCAUGAUACCUUCACUCAACCCCAGCAUCCCAGCUUGGGACCACCAGAAUGUGCUGCUGUGCCCUGUGGGGUCAGGCCAGGAGCUGAGGAGUCAAGUAGGGGAGAGGGAUACCCCACUGGGGACAGAGGGUUCCCUUGCAAAAAGAGCCUCUUGGAAGGGAGGCCGUGGGACCAGAGUCACAGCCAAGUCACUGCUACACAGGAACCCUUUGUGAACGGCUCAGCCUGGCCAGGCUGGGCUGCAGGGCAGAGAGCCCCUCGGAGACCCAGGGUGUGUCCCAAACGCAGCUGGAGCCAGGAGGAAGCAAGGGCACCAUGCUAGGAUGGAGGAGAGGAAGGCUGCGGGAGGGGACAGCGGGCACGAGUCCAGUGCCUCCCCCAGGGUCCCCUUGCAGUCUGCAUGCACCCCCCUCCCCAGAGCAGGAAGUUGAGAAUCUUGGUCCUCCGAGGAUGGAUGCCCCAGGAGAUGAGUCCAGCUUUUGCACAGCAGCUGCACCAUUUUACGUAACCACCAGCAAUGCACAAGGGUUCCAAUAUCGCCACAUCUUCACCAACAUCCAAUGUUCUCCAUCUUUAAGAUAAAAUAACCACCUAACGGGUGUGAAGUAGUAUCUUUUGGUGGCUUUGAUUUGCAUUUCCAUAAUGACUAAAGGCGUUAAGCAUCUUUUUAUGUGCUUGUUGGUGCUUGUAUAUCUUCAUUAGAGAAAUGUCUGUUCAGACUCUUUGCCCAUUUUUGAACUGGGCUGUUUGUUUUUUUGUUUGUUUGUUUUUGUUGUUGAGUUGAAGGGGUUCUUUACAUGGUAUAGAUAUUAAACCCUCACCAGAUAUGUAAUUUACAAAUAUUUUCUUCCAUUCUGUGGGAUCCCUUUUUACAACUGUUAACUGUGUCCUUUGAUGCACACGUUUUUUAUUUUAAUGAAGUCCAAUUUACCUAUUCUUUUCUUUA